rnacentral:misc_RNA from 1 species
AGCAGCCGCGGUAAUUCCAGCUCCAAUAGCGUAUAUUAAAGUUGUUGCAGUUAAAAAGCUCGUAGUUGAAUUUCGGGAUCAAUAUGCUGGUCGUGCCAUUGGUACGUACUAGUAUUAUUGGUUUCUCCUUUCUGAUGAAUCAUGAUGUCAUUAAUUUGAUGUCAUGAGGAAUCAGGACUGUUACUUUGAAAAAAUUAGAGUGUUUAAAGCAGGCUCGCGCUUGAAUACAUUAGCAUGGAAUAAUGAAAUAGGAUGUUUGAUUCUAUUUUGUUGGUUUCUAGGAUUGACGUAAUGAUUAAUAGGGAUAGUUGGGGGCAUUAGUAUUCAAUUGUCAGAGGUGAAAUUCUUGGAUUUAUUGAAGACUAACUACUGCGAAAGCAUUUGCCAAGGAUGUUUUCAUUAAUCAAGAACGAAAGUUAGGGGAUCGAAGACGAUCAGAUACCGUCGUAGUCUUAACCAUAAACUAUGCCGACUAGGGAUCGGAGAUGUU